rnacentral:rRNA from 1 species
UACGGGGGGGGCAAGCGUUGUUCGGAAUUACUGGGCGUAAAGGGCUCGUAGGUGGCCAACUAAGUCAGACGUGAAAUCCCUCGGCUUAACCGGGGAACUGCGUCUGAUACUGGAUGGCUCGAGUUCGGGAGAGGGAUGCGGAAUUCCAGGUGUAGCGGUGAAAUGCGUAGAUAUCUGGAGGAACACCGGUGGCGAAGGCGGCAUCCUGGACCGACACUGACACUGAGGAGCGAAAGCCAGGGGAGCAAACGGG